CGCCUUGCCAGCCCGCUCAGAACUUAAAGGAAUUGACGGGGCCGCACAAGCGGUGGAGUAUGUGGUUUAAUUCGAUGCAACGCGAAGAACCUUACCUGGUCUUGACAUCCCGGAGACCCUUAGGAAACUAGGGGGUGCUUCCAUCUGGAAGAAUCUGGAGACAGGUGCUGCAUGGCUGUCGUCAGCUCGUGUCGUGAGAUGUUGGGUUAAGUCCCGCAACGAGCGCAACCCUUGCCUUUAGUUGCCAGCAGUUCGGCUGGGCACUCUAAAGGGACUGCCGGUGUUAAACCGGAGGAAGGUGGGGAUGACGUCAAGUCCUCAUGGCCUUUAUGACCAGGGCUACACACGUACUACAAUGGCCGAUACAAAGGGCAGCGACACUGCGAGGUGAAGCCAAUCCCGUAAAAUCGGUCUCAGUCCGGAUUGGAGUCUGCAACUCGACUCCAUGAAGUUGGAAUCGCUAGUAAUCGUGGAUCAGCAUGCCACGGUGAAUACGUUCCCGGGCCUU
rnacentral:rRNA from 1 species